AUUGAACGCUGGCGGCAGGCCUAACACAUGCAAGUCGAGCGGCAGCGGGAAAGUAGCUUGCUACUUUUGCCGGCGAGCGGCGGACGGGUGAGUAAUGCCUGGGAAAUUGCCCAGUCGAGGGGGAUAACAGUUGGAAACGGCUGCUAAUACCGCAUACGCCCUACGGGGGAAAGCAGGGGACCUUCGGGCCUUGCGCGAUUGGAUAUGCCCAGGUGGGAUUAGCUAGUUGGUGAGGUAAUGGCUCACCAAGGCGACGAUCCCUAGCUGGUCUGAGAGGAUGAUCAGCCACACUGGAACUGAGACACGGUCCAGACUCCUACGGGAGGCAGCAGUGGGGAAUAUUGCACAGUGGGGGAAACCCUGAUGCAGCCAUGCCGCGUGUGUGAAGAAGGCCUUCGGGUUGUAAAGCACUUUCAGCGAGGAGGAAAGGUUGAUGCCUAAUACGUAUCAACUGUGACGUUACUCGCAGAAGGAGCACCGGCUAACUCCGUGCCAGCCGCCGCCGUAA
rnacentral:rRNA from 1 species